UGGGAGAAGUCGCUUGUUCAAAUGGACUGUCAUCUUAAAGAACCCUUAAGGAAUCCAACCGUACAUAUGAAGCUAUAUAAAAAGGACUAUAACAACCAGUAUAAACCAUUUCUGGCGAAUGUUGCGUUUAACUUGUGCGACUUGAUAGCUGGGCAGGCUUUCCUACCCUACGGCCUAUUGAUGUGGAAAACAUUGAACAAGUUCACGAAUGCCAACCACUCUUGUCCUUUUGUUGGUCAUCUCUUCGCGCGGGACAUGGUUUUCGAAACCAGCAAUUUACCGUCAUCCAUUCCAAUGGGUGCAUACUGGAUAUCCUCGACAUUUUUCGAAACCUAUUCGGAAGGGAGCAAAGCGAGCUAUGGCACUGUUAAUUGGUAUUGGGAGAUCAUGCGAAACAAGAGGAAACCAAAAACAAUUAAGGCAUUACCUGAUGUUUCAAUUAAACACAUCUGGCAGCGCUGUCAACCAGCGACCAUCUGUCGCGUGAUUUAUCGAAGCACUGCCAUCUCAAUUGCGGAACAAAACAAAGCCGCCAAGUCCCUCAGUACUGUAGCAGUGAAAUUUGAAACCAGCAGUGAAACCAGAGCCACCAAAAUGGACAAUCUGGCUGCCACGGCUGACGGAGCUUCUAUUUAUUCGCGUACACUCGUGUUCUUGAAAUGAAAGCAUUCAUGCCGAACCAACAUAUCAGGGAGAUGUCAGUGAGCGAUCGUUCACGAGUGAACUGUUUUAAAAUAGGGCUUUUAAAUGCUUUAAUAUGUUCAGUAUAAAUCAGUUCUGGCCAUGUACUUCAUAGCACUUGUGGGUAUGCAUACUCUGUGAACCGUCUGUUAUUUAUAAAAUGAAGAAUAUCGAAUGUUUGGGAUGGCGACUACUUCCUACUUCUCGGCGAACCCCUCGUGCAACAUAAAGCCCAUCAACUGGAA